GCCACAGAAUGUCUUGAUUGGGUGAGUCUGAUGUUUGCCCCAGACACGUGUGACCACAAGAAUCACUUCAGCUAAAAACAGCUGGCACACACAGCCCAGCUGUGCCACUCUGGUGCCCUCCAGCCUCCCUUGGAGCCUGACCCAGCUGAGGCUCUGGGUUUGCCGCUGGAAUUUCGAGAUUAUGGCCACAGGUCAGCUGGACACUUCUCUGUGGGCCAGGCAGGGCUGAAGAGCACCCAGGUAAUGCUCAUUCUUUGUUUUACUCAAAGAGACAGCACCGCUUGAGGCUUUGUGUGGACGGUGCAAAUUCCAGCUCUUCUCAGUCCAUGGGACACAGUGAGCCACAAACCUUCAGGGAGUGCCCGCAGUUCUGGGACACAGCCCAGGAACUCCACCAGCACAGCAGCACCCCUGGGCGUCAGGGACGAGGUGUCCCCGCUCCUGCUGCUGUCCCUCGAUACCCAGCACUGGUUUGGGCUUGGUGCCUGCCCGACCGUGCCCUGGCACCGAGGGAGUGACUGAGCUGUGCCGGAGGGUGAGGGGGGUGUGACACCACCCUGGGGCUCUGUGGGGUGUCCGUGUCCGUGUCCCUGUGCACAGACCCACACGAGCAGCGCCGUGUUUGGUGCUGCUCGGAGGGACAGAUGGGAGAAGCAGCAACAGGGACAACUGGAACCCUUCCAGACGCUUACAUGAGAACUGAGCUGCAGAGAGAACGUUUCUGAAGAUGCCUUUAUUCCUUAGUGGAUACAAUACUCUCAUUACUGGUGUCUUCCCAUGCAUCAGUUGGUACAGUCUUUAAUUAAAUUAUCCCCGACUGAUAUAAAGCCACAGUCUCAGACAGAGCCUCGUGCUGCCCAGCAGGAGCCUGGACAGGCCAUGGGGACCAUUGCUGUGCCCUGCAGAGGGGCAGCUCCCUCCCCACACAGCAGCAGCACAGCUCAGGAGUGUCCCUGUCACCGAGCGGGCUGGGCAGUGUGUCCUGGCUGGACACGGAGCCUGGUCUGUGCCCACCAUGGGAGCUGCUCCUGCAGGAGGAGCCAGGGGUGGCUCUGGGUGACUGCCCAGCCCCAGUUCUGCUGUGGCCAGUGACACAGGUGACCUCUCCAGGUGUCCCCUUUGUCCCCUGAGAGCUCCCCUCUGCAGAACCAGCACGUCACAGAUAAGAUGUGCCACCAGGAACGUGCUCAGGUAUGGUGGGUUGAGGGAGGAAGAGUUUAAGAAGACUUUUAUCCCAAUUAAUGUAAUUUUUCUUUCAGGACCAAUUCAGGGGAAUACUUAAGGAAAAGGUACAUCUGCAUGUGCACCAAUUAAACCUGACUUUGCAUUCCGUUAGACCCCAUUUUCUGGAUUCCCCGCCCAACUGCUCAGGCUCCAAGGCCCACAGGAGAUCCCUCAGGGGUGCACCCCAUUGCCAGGAUCAACUCCCACCCCAAAUCCCCAAAGCUACAACCACGUUAAUGAUGAUUCUUUAUUAAUAAUCCUGUCCUCAUCAAUGUGCAGAGCUUUUCAUUUCCAUUGUGCUCUCCCUACAUUAACCAAUAAAUCUCCGCAGAAUCCCAGAGAGAGUGGGAAGUGCUGUUAUUCUUGUUUUAUGGAUAGCAAAAUGAGAUACAGAGAGGUUAAUAGCAAGUCUAAUUGGACAAUAAUUACCCACUUACCACACUGAAAAUUAAGAAAUAAUCCUCCCAUUGUCAUUACAUCAGCAGAACAAGGCGAGAGCAGUGUUCACGUCCUCCCCAUCCCACCAUUUAGCCAAACAGCUGACAUGCAAAUGAAAGCAAAGGGAGCACAAGAGCAGAUAAAUAAAUUGUUCUUUCCUUGUUUAACAUCUAUUUUGCACCACUGAGUCACUCAGGAUAGAAGAAAAUUAUUAAAUUUCCUCUGGAAUCUAUUAGGACAUGACAAAACAAAGGCAAGCUCCAUUUGUAGAACACAUCUGUUGGAAAAGAAAUGGAAGAAAUAGGACUUAAUUACUGCUGUGGACUGGUUUCACUUCAUUUUUCCAGGGAGGGAAAAAAUGUAGGAUAAAAAUUUCUGCCUUAAAAAAGACCAGUACUCUGAUAAUUCUGUUUCUCCUGCCAUGUCAGGGACACCUCCCACUGUCCCAGGCUGCUCCCAGCCCCAGUGUCCAGCCUGGCCUUG